UUUAUGGAGAGUUUGAUCCUGGCUCAGGAUGAACGCUGGCGGCGUGCCUAAUACAUGCAAGUCGAGCGAACGGACGAGAAGCUUGCUUCUCUGAUGUUAGCGGCGGACGGGUGAGUAACACGUGGAUAACCUACCUAUAAGACUGGGAUAACUUCGGGAAACCGGAGCUAAUACCGGAUAAUAUUUUGAACCGCAUGGUUCAAAAGUGAAAGACGGUCUUGCUGUCACUUAUAGAUGGAUCCGCGCUGCAUUAGCUAGUUGGUAAGGUAACGGCUUACCAAGGCAACGAUGCAUAGCCGACCUGAGAGGGUGAUCGGCCACACUGGAACUGAGACACGGUCCAGACUCCUACGGGAGGCAGCAGUAGGGAAUCUUCCGCAAUGGGCGAAAGCCUGACGGAGCAACGCCGCGUGAGUGAUGAAGGUCUUCGGAUCGUAAAACUCUGUUAUUAGG
rnacentral:rRNA from 1 species